rnacentral:rRNA from 1 species
GAUGAAUGCUGGCGGCGUGCCUAAUACAUGCAAGUCGAGCGAACAGACGAGGAGCUUGCUCCUCUGACGUUAGCGGCGGACGGGUGAGUAACACGUGGAUAACCUACCUAUAAGACUGGGAUAACUUCGGGAAACCGGAGCUAAUACCGGAUAAUAUAUUGAACCGCAUGGUUCAAUAGUGAAAGACGGUUUUGCUGUCACUUAUAGAUGGAUCCGCGCCGCAUUAGCUAGUUGGUAAGGUAACAGCUUACCAAGGCAACGAUGCGUAGCCGACCUGAGAGGGUGAUCGGCCACACUGGAACUGAGACACGGUCCAGACUCCUACGGGAGGCAGCAGUAGGGAAUCUUCCGCAAUGGGCGAAAGCCUGACGGAGCAACGCCGCGUGAGUGAUGAAGGUCUUCGGAUCGUAAAACUCUGUUAUUAGGGAAGAACAAAUGUGUAAGUAACUAUGCACGUCUUGACGGUACCUAAUCAGAAAGCCACGGCUAACUACGUG